ACUUGAAAUUAUUUUAUGAAAAAUUGUAGUAACAUUUAAUAAAUGUGCUUUUUAGUUUUAACAAAAUAGUUAGAUCAAAGAUAAAUACAGUAGUAUGUAUGAUGGAUGGGCACGUUGGAGAAGGCGGCACGGCAGAAGGGCAUUUACUUUUACGGGGAAGCAAAAAAGUUAGUGCUAGUCUGGUUCCUUCUAAUUCUGCAGUCUCAUAAACGAAAGCGAAGACGCACCUCCACAAAACUCUCGUCCAAGCCUUGUGUAGGCCAUUGCGCUAGGAGCAAUUUGGAUUUCGAGGAGAAGAUGAAAAAAGGAAUUCAUCCACAGCGUCAAUGGAUUUCCUACGUAACCCAGAGCGGGCGAUUGAUCAACGUUAUGAUGACAAAAAUACACCAAGUUGGUAAAGUCUAUCACAUAAGGGGUAGACAGGAGAGGACCGAAGGCAUUGGCCAGAUUGCAAAAUUUAAGCGUCGUUAUGAACAACAGAAGGUAGAGGAAACAGAAGAGAAGUAAAUCCUUUCACUUGCAGGAGCAAUGAUACAUUUCUAUGUUUUCCCUGAACCAAAUAUGGAAUGCCUUGUUUUCAUUUGUCAUUACACUAUCGUGCAUGGUAGCACAUAUGCUUCAUCAUUUCUUUUCCAUAAUUGACAACUUUUAAUGAUUUCUUAUGGACAUUGAUGGGUAAUAUUUCACAGAAUGGAUACCAAGGGCUUCAGUAUCUGCUGGUUGUCCUUUCAUCUUCUUUGCAAUUGUUAUUGUUUUCUUUUGGAUCUUAACGGUGUUCUCUGCCAAGUUGAAUUUAAGGAUAUAUGACAAAUGUACCUUUGAUUAUGCAAGGUGUUAGAUUCUAUUUCCCUUUCUUUUAUUCUUGUCAUUUCUUGCUGCAGCCUGCAAGUUUCUAGGCUUAUGCUUCUUUAGGCAAACAACAACCACUUGUCUUAGCAUUGAAUCUUAUUCUUUCUACUUGUUUAGUUUUGAGAUCGCUCAUUUUCUUCAUUGUUCAUUUAUGAUUAGUUUUGCAAACAUAAGUUUAUCAUGUUAGAGGUCCUUAAUCUUCACAUGAUAAUCUGAAGGACGAAGUUUUUCCUCCAGACUAUCUAUUCCACCUAGCUGAGUGCUAGUACGAUAUAUACUAUAGAAACUGAUAACCAUUAGUUCAACCAGUUUGGGUACCUUGUUUUCCCCCCUUUUUGAUGGUCUGUGUUGUUGUGCUAAUGAAGCUCAGUUGCCCUUUCCUUG